ensembl:ncRNA F45B8.9 ncRNA
AAUUGAGAGAAAAUCCGAUGAAAAAGAACGAAACAGGGUCACAAAGCACUCGAAGAGCGCGCGUUUGUUCAAAAUGAGGAAAAUAGGAGUGUGCAAUAGAGCACAGUUGCUGCGCGUUCUGGUCACACGGCUUACGAGAACACCUGCUGUUCAGGUCAAGUGAACGG